rnacentral:rRNA from 1 species
GACGAACGCUGGCGGCGUGCUUAACACAUGCAAGUCGAACGAAGUGGCGAACGGGUGAGUAACGCGUAAUCAACCUGCCCUUCAGAGGGGGAGAACAGUUGGAAACGACUGCUAAUAUCGCCUACUGCAGGAGGGGAUUGCGUCUGAUUAGAUAGUUGGUGGGGUAACGGCCCACCAAGGCGAUGAGCAGUGGCCGGUCUGAGAGGUUGACCGGCUACAUUGGGACUGAGACACGGCCCAGACUUCUACGGGAGGUAGCAGUGGGGAAUCUUCCGCAAUGGACGAAAGUCUGACGGAGCAACGCCGCGUGAGUGAUGACGGCCUUCGGGGUGUAAAGCUCUGUUAAUCGGUACGCGGUACCGGAAUAGAAAGCCACGGCUAACUACGUGCCAGCCGCCGCGGUAAUAC